AUACUUACCUGGAUGGGGUCAAUGGGUGAUCAAUGAGGCCUAUGGCCUAGGGCAGUGACCUUCAUUGCACAUGGAAGGGGUGCUGAUCUAAGGUCUGUCCAAGUGACAGAGCCUACAUCAUAAUUUGUGGAAUAGGGAGCCUGCGUUCGCGCGGCCCCUGC
rnacentral:snRNA from 1 species